GUCUACAGUCAUACCACCCUGAAAGCACCGGAUCUCAUCUGAUCUCGGAAGCUAAGCAGGGACGGGCCUGGUUAGUACCUGGAUGGGAGGAAUAGACCUGAAAUUCUGAUCA
ensembl:rRNA 5S_rRNA 5S ribosomal RNA